CAAAAAACUGGAACUGGAGCAAGAAAAAGAAUAGCUCUGACGAGUUUACUCGCCAAUAGAACAGUCUCCCUGACCCUGCAAAGCAAGAGCCUCGGUUGUUCUACAUGUUUUUUUUUUUCUCUGUUUGAAGUCAUAGUGUUUUCAGUUUGGCCAUCUUCUAAGGAGUUUGAACCCACGGAAGAACUAUCUUGACUAUCUUGAUGGGGGAGUUGAAGAAAUCCUUCACCGGAGUCGGAGCGGGAUUUUGGAAGUGUUUCCUUCUGCAGAAUCCAUAGUACUUCGAAGCUCUUCUACAGUUUUUGUC